rnacentral:lncRNA from 1 species
GAGCAGAUCCACCCCAGUCAAAAGACUUAAAGUAAAACAGAUCCCAAAGUAUUUCACAAUUAUUAUUUCAUCAGCGUGAACAAGAACAACAGCUGACCCACAAUAUCAAGGAUCUUCAGGCAACAAUGUUCAGUGGCAGAGAGCUCCAGCCCAAAGGAAAGGUAGCAAAAAUCUGCAAUUCCUGCUGUUUCAGGUACUGAAGAGACAGAAAGACGCUGAGAGCCGGAGGCAGUGAGCAGUUCCAACCCUUCCAGUAUCCAGCCAGGUGGGUUUGCAGUGUGCUUGCUUACAGAUCCAAGAGCUGCAACGCAACCUCAGCCCAGCGCUUCCUGCACACUUAUUUCCUGCUCAUCACAUGCUCUGCUGCAAUGGCUGAGGAAGGCUCUGACACUGGUCUCCCAAUGGCCUCCGCAACUUUGGAUCCAACCUGCAGGACAUUAAACACUUCAAGGCCCUAAACACAGUUGGCUACAUCCGGAUGUUCUGUCAGAUUCCUGUUAUUUCCUCAGCUCAUCUCUACUGUGAAAAGUAUCAGUGCUGUUUGGAUCAGAACCACUAGACAUAAGCUUCUCCCUUGUUGAAAGAACAGAGAUGACCACACAACACACAGCUGAGACUAUCACAGAU